UACGUAGGUCCCGAGCGUUGUCCGGAUUUAUUGGGCGUAAAGCGAGCGCAGGUGGCUUAUUAAGUCUGGUGUAAAAGGCAGUGGCUCAACCAUUGUAUGCAUUGGAAACUGGUAGACUUGAGUGCAGGAGAGGAGAGUGGAAUUCCAUGCGUAGCGGUGAAAUGCGUAGAUAUAUGGAGGAACACCGGUGGCGAAAGCGGCUCUCUGGCCUGUAACUGACACUGAGGCUCGAAAGCGUGGGGAGCAAACAGG
rnacentral:rRNA from 1 species